UAUAGGUGCUAGGACAGAAGGUAAAAUA
rnacentral:piRNA from 1 species